rnacentral:lncRNA from 1 species
UCAUAUGAUUAUUUUCGUGAAUUCGACGUAGAAGAAGUUCGUCUUGCCUCCCUUUAUUAAGUACUGGGCUAAGGGCGGACCCCUCCUUCUAUCUAGGUAUCCCGGUCUCCUAGUCUCGUCCCUUGUUAGUGCAAUAAAUAGAAGUGAGUUUGCUUACCUCUUCUGGUAGCAAGCGCUCUUUGUCAACAACCUCUUUAGUAAUGGAAUCGGUUCUUCGUUCUCUAUCCUAUCUAAUAGAGGAAUUCAUUGGUUCAUCUCCAGGUUCUGACUGGGCCUUCCCUUCCUUUUAGUUUGAGUCCGCCUCUCUAUUAUGAAGUAGUUGUUUCCUAGCCCUCCGUCUGUCCUGAUAUUGAGGCAAGCCUGCUACCCCCUACAUUGAGGUAAUCCCGAUUGUCUUACUGAUUCUCUUCCCGAAACAAGAAAGAAUUUCUUUCACUACACUAAAUAGGAAGUUACAUUUGUAGCAGUCCAAGAAUUGCUCUAUCCCCGAGGUCACUCUCAAGAGUACGACCGGAGGCCCAUCUUCUUACUUAACGAGUUUGUGUCGCAUAAUGUGCCCUUCUUCCGGAGAAAGGAGCGUAUGACUGCCAGCCACACUAGAACCAGUCGCCAAGAAAGGGCGAGAAGAGGCGUGUGAUUCCCUGACCAAGACCAAGGCGGCGGGAGCUCAGCCUAGAAGAAAGACACAAAGGAGAUAGAAUGCCUUUCUUCUCUUAGGAUUGAUUUAUCGAGUUACAGGGGCAGACCACCAGAGUGACUUUCUCCUGCGAUUGGAGGAGGAGAGGCUGUUGGAAUGGGAACUCUUGGAGGUUCGGUAACGAUUAAGAAAAGAUUUAAGAGAUGCGUUUUCAUAGCCUACUUUCGUAUCCACAAGCCCAUGCAAGGGAAUCACUUUCUUACUUUCCCUCUGAGAUAGCGAGAGCCCGAAGUAACUCAUCCGAUCUUUGAAGGCUUGAGGGAACGGAAUCAGCUUUGAUGCCUUUAUGCCAAUUUUCCAUGGGAUGGCUAACAUAGAGAUUUCUUCCCUGUGGGAGUGUUAAUGGUUGGAGUCAUAAGCUAAACCUCUUGAGGCCCAUUGCUCCUAGUGGUGGGGAUUGUCCCUGUAGUUGCGUCUUUCAUUCCCUUUCAAGUAGUCUCUUGGGCCAGUGAAAAAGCUUUCCAUCCGUCCCGACCAGUCCUUCUCUCUCAUCCUCUUGUAAGAUUGGAUAGGGCUACCAUUGAAAUCGAUAGCCCGCAGAAAUGCUUCUUCCUGCGAGUGGAGGUGCCCUUACAUCCAUUGUAGUAGUAGUUGAUAGGGCCCUUUCCCUCUACCGCACCGUGGGAGUGGUAAGCUAUGCUAUCUAGUUGGAGUCCUUUUUCAGUGUCGGAUUUUUUACAAUUAGCCUUCGCCUUCCAAUAAAGAAUAUGCUUCCCCUAUUUCCAAAAGUGAGUUAGUAGGAAAGCCUUUCAAUUGCAGUACCACUUUCUAGCGAUCUAGUUCCAUUCCCUCCUAUUGAUAUUGAAGCAGAAGGAUUUUCCAAGGCACCUACAGGACGACUAGGUAAGACUAUCCCAUAGAAGUCUUAGGUAUGGUAUGAUGCGGGCAUAGUUUACACUCGUAAGUAAUCAGGUAAGCAAGUGGGGAUAGCUUCAAGCUUUGGAUAUGGGGAAGCACAAACUAGUGAGAAAGGUAGUUUCCCCUCUUGGCUUUGUCCCAAUAGCCAUUGUAAGAGUAGGAGAUGGAGAGUUGCCCGCUAUAGGGCAUUGAAGAAGCUAAUACCAUUUUAGGCUAUUAAGGAUUUCGUGCACCACGGUAUAAUAUCUGUGUCAAAUCUAGCAAAGCCAGGGAGCCCCAAGCUGCUUGCCUAUUCUUCUAUCUCAAAUAGGGAUCAAAAGUCCCAUACUAGCAUUGCCCUUAAUCCCUCACAGCUUGUAACGGCUUAUCCGGGUAUUGAUUCAUAGCCAUAUGUGGAAUCACUCCCUUUCUUUAGAGGCGAGUAACUGAACCGAAAGCAGGUAAUUCAGUUUAGGGGAGAAGCAUUCCUUCUUUAGCCCCCAAGGGAAGAUCAUAGAAGGAAAAGUCUCUUACUGACUGAGGCGAGGCUAGGAGAAGCUACUGGGCUGCUAAGCAGCAGAGGCAGAGCACAACUGAUUCGAACAAUAGAUGUUUCGGUCAGAGGGGUAUUGCAGCUGUGAUGGAAGUUCUUAGCUAAACAGUCAAGGUGGGAACCAAACCAGAUGUCGACUAAAGGAGUUGGAUUACAGCUUAGGGUAAUCAGCUCGACUCAGAAGGUUUGGAGUUUCACCGUGAAACUAAACGCAGGAAAGUCAAAGAAAAGGUCCGACAGAGCUGCGCCUUCGCAGGGCCUCUUGGAGUAGUAAGUCUUGGAGCUGGUGAGAGCGCUAUAGUUACAAUUUGACCAACCCCAUCUUCCCUCGUUGUAUGAGUUACCCUUGCCCCAUGGGAUAUUUCAUUCUCAGUUCAAGCAGAAUCGGAGAGAAAGGCUUUCAGUCAGUCCAACGAGCUAACCUGCUAAGAAAGUAGUUAGUAAGGAUGGGAUAUUCUCCUUUAAGUCAGUCCCCAGAAGCAAGGAAUUAUAAGUAAGCAGAAGAGAGAGCUAGGAAUGCUGUUGAGGCUCGAACUUGCAGUAAGGGAAGGGGAAAUGAGACAAAGGCUAACUAAGGACGAAGUUCGGAAAUUCCAUAUCUUUUUACAUGUCACUGAGCCUCGUAUGGCAAUGCCAAAGCAAAAGAGUAGAGCAGCCUCUCGCGGAAAUGAAUUGACCAGAUCGAUGGAACCAGACAAUUUCAGUCUAUUCGUUCGCGCCUCUUGCGAAGCGGUUCGCUCACAUUGAUAUCAGUCUGGUUUGCUGCAUCCGCUGUUUCUUCUAUUUCUUGAAAACAACCUAUUCUUGCGCUUACUCUUAUUUAAUUUAAGCGGGUAAGAAUUUCCUACUAUCCAAUAAUAUGGAUAUCAAUUCCUUAUCCCACAAAAGCAGACUACUUUCAUAAUCUUCUUUCUCUUUAGAUUUGCUGCUUUCUUACGAAUUGAUAGAGGCAUACUUGUGUAUGUUAUCCCAUAAGACUUAUUGUUGUUUCAAGGGGGUGUCAACCGGUAAUAGAAUGUAGCAACCAGAGAAAAUCUUCGACCAGAAGGAGUUCGAGUUUAGAACGCUACCAGAUAAGGUGAAUAUGGUAUUGAGUUUGCUACUCAUUUUUUGAAGCUAAACCUGGUCAGCCAAGUGUUAUAGACGUUAAUGUGUCAUUAUUGAUGAGGAAAUAGCCCUGAGUUGGGCCUAGAUCGGUCGUGGAAUCAAGUAGACCGACCAAGGACUAAUGAAAGAAAGAAGGAAUCCGCCACUUUCGUUCUAUAAAAGUCUUCAGAUAGUAUGAUCUAUGAUCCAAUCCAGCAUUGAAAACCCCUUUCUAUCUUAUAUAUCUUAGCUUAGCCCACUUCGAUGGAAAGCAAAUGUUCUAUGGUGGAGAAGGGGCUGCUUUAAAUAAAUAUAUUGACGGGAUCGGUCAUGAAGAAGCUCAGCAAGCAGAAAGAUUCUUUGAUGGAAACCAUGACAGACUUUGCUGUAGUAGAGACCUCAACCCAGGUCCUAUCGAACCUACCUAUGGUCCCUUUCCCCGCUCCUCAAUUACAUCCACCCUAAAACGGACGAAUGGAAUUGUAUUCAUACUUCCUUUCUUCAAGAGUUGCUGAAUUCGGGAAGCAAAUAAGGAUAACUAGAGUAUACAAAGUAGAAUAGAGCGAAGGAAGCUACAUACACAGGAUGGACGUAGUUCAUGCUACGUUAAGAUUAGGACUGAAAAAAUGAACACUUAUGCAGCUAUCUCUCAAAAGAGUCGUUAAGUUGACUCGCUAGUGCUACCUUUCAUGGUAUAUAGAGAGUUCAGGCAAUCGGUCUCUUCGGUAGCGCUAGGGAAGAAGAUACAUACUUGAAGCGAGACAAAGAGCACAAAUAGAUAAUAGAUGGACAAACAUCUCGCUAUCGCUCAAACCUCAUUGUUGAGUAAAGGUGAGAGGGAGAGUGAAGGGUCGAACAUGUUUGAGAGGAAGGAGAAA